UACAGAGGGGGCAAGCGUUGUCCGGAAUCAUUGGGCGUAAAGAGCGUGUAGGCGGCCUGGUAAGUCCGCUGUGAAAGUCCAGGGCUCAACCCUGGAAUGCCGGUGGAAACUGUCAGGCUCGAGUCCGGAAGAGGCGAGUGGAAUUCCUGGUGUAGCGGUGAAAUGCGCAGAUAUCAGGAGGAACACCAAUGGCGAAGGCAGCUCGCUGGGACGGUACUGACGCUGAGACGCGAAAGCGUGGGGAGCAAACAGG
rnacentral:rRNA from 1 species